GAAAUAUUCAAAAAUAAGCUUCUAACUUAAUUUAAAGCAUAGUAUGUUUAUAUUUCU
rnacentral:tRNA from 1 species